rnacentral:rRNA from 1 species
CCUACGGGUGGCAGCAGUGGGGAAUAUAGCACAAUGGGGGAAACCCUGAUGCAGCGACGUCGCGUGAGUGAUGAAGGAUUUCGGUAUGUAAAGCUCUAUCAGCAGGGAAGAAAAGGACGGUACCUGACCACGAAGCCCCGGCUAACUACGGUCCAGCAGCCGCGGUAAUACGUAGGGGGCAAGCGUUAUCCGGAUUUACUGGGUGUAAAGGGAGCGUAGACGGCGGUGCAAGCCAGAUGUGAAAGCCCGGGGCUCAACCCCGGGACUGCAUUUGGAACUGUGGUGCUAGAGUGUCGGAGAGGCAGGCGGAAUGCCUGGUGUAGCGGUGAAAUGCGUAGAUAUUAGGAGGAACACCAGUGGCGAAGGCGGCCUGCUGGACGAUGACUGACGUUGAGGCUCGAAAGCGUGGGGAGCAAACAGGAUUAGAUACCCCAGUAGUC